rnacentral:lncRNA from 10 species
AGCGAGACCCUGUCUCAAUCAAUCAAUCAAAAACGACAGAGAUAGAUAGAUAGAUGAUAGAUUGAUAGAUGAUAGAUAGAUAGAUAGAUAGAUAGAUAGAUAGAUAGAUAGCAACAUGGUCUAAAUGAGUCUAGGAGUGGAGUGUCCUUGAACUUGGGGAGACCACCCUCCACUGCAUUUGCAUUAUUGAUACUAUGGCUGGAGAGGGCCUUUUGCCUAAAAGCUUGGAGUAUGUUGGGGCCCCCGAGAGCAGGUGAGGGCCAGAGGUUCAGAUCAGAGGAUGGAAAAAGGAGGUGGAGAACAGGAAAGAAAAACAUUUUAAUAAGAACAAGCAGGGGUGAUGGAAAGUAUACACCAAGGCCAUUCUCUAGCAUCUUAAGGUUCUGCCCAGCCAGCUGGGAGGCCACUGGGCACUGGCUGCUGGGGGGAAAGGAAGAAUCUGCUCCCCUACCCCAGCCUUCACUGUUGCUUUCCUCGCACGAACCCCAGACUCUAUCCUUCCUGGUUGGCUGUUUAAGUCCUUUCCUGACACCCCAGGCUUUGUGGCUUAUCUGAGCACAGAACAGCAUCCUUAGAUGGUACAGCACUGAGCACCCACCUUAGAUCCUAGGAUUCAGUCCCACCAUCCAAAGCCCCUCACCACUACAGACCAGCCACACUAAGGGUGACCAGAUAUCUUAGACUCCCUUUUGAAACAACAGGAACCAAAGUGCCCAGGGCAGAGAACAUCCUGUUGCCAAAAUAGUGGUUCUCAACCAGGGAUGACUUUUGUCUUCCAGGGGACAUUUGGCAACGUCUGGAGACAUUUUGGGUUGUCACAACUGGAAGGAUGUACUCACAUCCAGUGGGUGGAGGCCAGGAAUGCUGCUAAGCACCCUGCAAUGCACAGCAGCCCCCAUGACAAAGAACUGUCCAGACCAAAAUGUCAAUAGUGCCGAGGUUGAGAAAUUCCGGCCAAAAGAAAUGGAAUCAAAAAAGAAAAUUGUUUGCAACUUCAUAGAGAUACCCUCAAUGAAUAAAACCACAUAUGGUUUGACUUCUGUCCCUGUUCCUAUGCUGAAGGGAAACUUGUACAACUUUCCCUUUUUAAAGUAAAGAGAUACCACCCCACUCUUUUUUUUUUUUAAACACAGCAACAGAAGGGCCCCAAGUUAAAACCAGCUCUCCAGCCUAAGGACUCCACCUGGUGGUCCUCUCUGGAAUUAAAUGAAGUUGAGGUUUUAUUUUGUUUAAUUUUUUCAUUAUUCAGUUAUUUUGUUUAACAUUUUUAGUUAUUUUGUUUAAAUUUUUAGUUAUUUUAACUUUUAAGUUAUUUUAUUUCUUAGUUAUUUUAACUUGUUAUUUUAAUUUUUUUAGUUAUUUUAACUUUUUAAAGUUAUUUUAAUUCUUUAGUUAUUUUGUUUAACUUUUUUAGUUUUUUUAGUUAAACAAAAGUUGCAGUGACCGGGGCAGGUGUGAUGGCUCAGGCCUGUAAUCCCAGCACUUUGGGAGGCCGAGGCAGGGACAGGGGGCAGGGGAAAUCACUUCUUAGGUCAGGAGCUCAAGACCAGCCUGGCAAACAUGACAAAACCCCGUCUCUACUAAAAAUAUAAAAAUCAGCCAGGCAUGGUGGCGAGCGCCUGUAAUCCCAGCUACUUGAGAGGCUGAGGCACGAGAAUCACUUGAACCUCAUGUUAUUCCUCAUGAGGCGGAGGUUGCAGUGAGCCGAGAUUCCGCCACUGUACUCCAGCCUGGGCAACAGAGCGAGACUCCAUCUCAGAAAACAAAGAAGUUCCAAGUACAAUACAAAGAAAUUCCCUCCCAAUUUGAGAGUAAGUUGCCGAUAUACCCUAUGACCGCCCCCCCCCCGCCAAUACUUCAGUGGGUAUUUCCUAUGAACAACGACAUUCUCCGGCACAGCCAUCAGACUCAGGAAAUUAACAUCGGUAUGUUAUUACCAUCAACCCUCUGACUGAAUUCUAGUUCUGCCAGUUGUCCCAAUAAAGUUCUUAGC